GAUGAACGCUGGCGGCGUGCCUAAUACAUGCAAGUCGAGCGAACAGACGAGGAGCUUGCUCCUCUGACGUUAGCGGCGGACGGGUGAGUAACACGUGGAUAACCUACCUAUAAGACUGGGAUAACUUCGGGAAACCGGAGCUAAUACCGGAUAAUAUCUUGAACCGCAUGGUUCAAUAGUGAAAGACGGUUUUGCUGUCACUUAUAGAUGGAUCCGCGCUGCAUUAGCUAGUUGGUAAGGUAACGGCUUACCAAGGCGACGAUGCGUAGCCGACCUGAGAGGGUGAUCGGCCACACUGGAACUGAGACACGGUCCAGACUACUACGGGAGGCAGCAGUAGGGAAUCUUCCGCAAUGGGCGAAAGCCUGACGGAGCAACGCCGCGUGAGUGAUGAAGGUCUUCGGAUCGUAAAACUCUGUUAUUAGGGAAGAACAAAUGUGUAAGUAACUAUGCACGUCUUGACGGUACCUAAUCAGAAAGCCACGGCUAACUACGUG
rnacentral:rRNA from 1 species